UACGUAGGGUGCGAGCGUUGUCCGGAAUUAUUGGGCGUAAAGAGCUUGUAGGCGGUUUGUCGCGUCUGCUGUGAAAUCUCAAGGCUCAACCUUGAGCUUGCAGUGGGUACGGGCAGACUAGAGUGUGGUAGGGGGAGACUGGAAUUCCUGGUGUAGCGGUGAAAUGCGCAGAUAUCAGGAAGAACACCUAUGGCGAAGGCAGCUCUCUGGGACGGUACUGACGCUGAGACGCGAAAGCGUGGGGAGCGAACAGG
rnacentral:rRNA from 1 species